AAGCUGAAGUCUACACAAAGCAGGGCUUUGGGAGUCUACCCAUCUGCAUGGCCAAAACACACUUGUCCUUGUCUCACAACCCAGAGCAGAAAGGUGUGCCCACUGGCUUCGUUCUGCCCAUUCGCGACAUCCGCGCCAGCGUCGGGGCUGGCUUUCUGUACCCCUUAGUGGGAACGAUGAGCACAAUGCCUGGGCUCCCCACCCGGCCCUGUUUUUACGACAUUGAUCUGGACCCUGAGACGGAGCAGGUGAAUGGGCUGUUCUAAACAGAACAUCUGGCCGCAAGACGUAGCUGGGAGGGUUUGGCCGGUGCCCUGCAGGCCCGCGAGAGUUCAGCAGUGCAGAGAAGUGGAGAGAAGUCAGCCCUGCCUGCCCCGGAGAUCUGGAAUAAACGGCGCCAGUUUCCCUGGACGCCUUCCUUGAGCCUUAGCUCCCGUCCUCAUGUUAAAAUUACAUAAAUCAUGCACACGUCUCUACGGUGGUGACGCUCACAGAAUAAAAGGAAAUCAUUUUGCUA